rnacentral:rRNA from 1 species
AGUGAACGCUGGCGGUAGGCCUAACACAUGCAAGUCGAACGGCAGCACAGUAAGAGCUUGCUCUUACGGGUGGCGAGUGGCGGACGGGUGAGGAAUACAUCGGAAUCUACUUUUUCGUGGGGGAUAACGUAGGGAAACUUACGCUAAUACCGCAUACGACCUACGGGUGAAAGCAGGGGAUCUUCGGACCUUGCGCGAUUGAAUGAGCCGAGGUCGGAUUAGCUAGUUGGCGGGGUAAAGGCCCACCAAGGCGACGAUCCGUAGCUGGUCUGAGAGGAUGAUCAGCCACACUGGAACUGAGACACGGUCCAGACUCCUACGGGAGGCAGCAGUGGGGAAUAUUGGACAAUGGGCGCAAGCCUGAUCCAGCCAUACCGCGUGGGUGAAGAAGGCCUUUGGGUUGUAAAGCCCUUUUGUUGGGAAAGAAAAGCAGCAGGUUAAUACCCCGCUGUUCUGACGGUACCCAAAGAAUAAGCACCGGCUAACUUCGUG